rnacentral:rRNA from 1 species
CCUACGGGAGGCAGCAGUGAGGAAUAUUGGUCAAUGGACGAGAGUCUGAACCAGCCAAGUAGCGUGAAGGAUGACUGCCCUAUGGGUUGUAAACUUCUUUUAUAUGGGAAUAAAAUGUGGCACGUGUGGGAUUUUGUAUGUACCAUAUGAAUAAGGAUCGGCUAACUCCGUGCCAGCAGCCGCGGUAAUACGGAGGAGCCGAGCGUUAUCCGGAUUUAUUGGGUUUAAAGGGAGCGUAGUUGGGUUGUUAAGUCAGUUGGGAAAGUUUGCGGCUCAACCGUAAAAUUGCAGUUGAUACUGGCAGUCUUGAUUACAGUUGAGGUAGGCGGACUUCGUGGUGUCGCGGUGACAUGCUUAGCGCUC